AUGCGCAAUAUUGUAAUGCGCAGGUCACAGCUGUCCAAACAUGGAGGUUGAACUAAGGCACAGCUUGCUUGUUCCCAGGCGUACGUAAUAGCCCCCGAAUAUCGACUAACCAACCAGCAAACCGCUACCAAAGGUUACUAUAACUGACAGUUUAUCAUUCUUUGUUGUUCGAUCGUUUGUUGAUUGUUGGAAUGACGAUGGAAAACAUGGGCGAGCUGCCGGAUCAACAACUUAACGAUUCGUCCGUCACCACACCAUUGAGUGUCGGAGGAGGCAGUGGAGUAGACACAGCAAGCCAACAGUCCUCACGCGAUACCACUCAGUCUGACACUGACUUCCCAGCAGUACCCAGUGUCAGUGCAGUGUCCAGCCCCGAGGCCGAGUUGUCACCAUCCAUCGACAUCUCAAGAACUGAGGCCAUUCCGGUUACGGUGGCCAGUAUGAUCGACAGUACGGAGUUCCGUUCCCAAAUGGGGGACGUCACAUACCAGACUCUGAACGGGAGGAUGAGCCCCAACUACAGCCCCAACAGCUAUGCUACGCUCACUCCGUUACAACCACUACCCCCCAUUUCUACAGUGUCAGAAAAGUUCAACCAGAUUCAGGCUUCAAAUGUAGGUGGUAAUGGAUUUACACUUAUGAACAAUGGACUGGGAAUGGAUAUGAACACUGCUUACAGAUAUGACAAAAUGAUGGGGAUGGGGAUGAACAUCUCCAAUAUGGGUCCAAGUUUGGCCACAAGCCCCAUGACAAUGAUGACAACAAAUGGAUAUCCACAAAGUGUUGGACCUUACGGUUAUAAUGUGAAUGUGAGUCUUGGUGUAAGUCAAAAUGGACUGCCUUCACCCAAGUCCGAUCAUAAGUCUCCUACAGGAUUAUCACCAAAUACAUAUGAAACAUAUCGAAAUCUGGCUCCACCUCCUACACGACUCAGUUCCCCAAAUCCUGUCAUGAUGUCAACACUCAAUGGAUUGCAUGGGAACCAUACAGUUACACCUGAUGCAUCACCAAAUAGUCAAAGUUCCAGCCCCCAGAGGGGUCAGUCAGUCGGUCCAAUGGAUUCUCAGAGCAAUAAAGAACUUGAGGAAAUAAACACAAAGGAACUGGCACAGAGAAUCAGCAGCGAACUUAAACGUUAUAGUAUACCACAGGCAGUUUUCGCUCAGAGAGUUUUAUGUAGAAGUCAGGGAACAUUAAGCGAUCUUUUGCGAAAUCCAAAACCAUGGAGCAAACUGAAGUCUGGGAGGGAAACAUUCCGCAGAAUGUGGAAAUGGCUUCAAGAACCAGAAUUUCAGCGAAUGUCUGCAUUGCGCCUUGCAGGCAAAUCAUUCGGGGAGGUGUCCAUUAAGGAGGAAUCAGUGUCAGCAGCCAGCUUUGGGCACCCUAUAGCCAGCAUAGCCUGUAAAAGAAAGGAACAGGAGCAGCAAGCCCAGGACCAGAGGCACCCCAAAAAACCCAGGCUAGUGUUUACUGAUAUUCAGAGGAGAACGUUGCACGCAAUAUUUAAGGAAACCAAGAGACCGUCAAAGGAAAUGCAAGCUACUAUUGCACAACAACUCGGACUCGAAGUGUCCACUGUCGCCAAUUUCUUCAUGAACGCUCGCCGGCGGUCCAUUGAUAAAUGGCGAGACGACAACGGUAACAACAAUCGAGACAGUGUGCCCAAGAGCUGAGUUGUCGUGACGAUGUCCAACAGGUUUCUCAGUGAUUGUGGUCGGUCAUCUUCGUUGUGCAUCCAUAUUUUGUUCAUCUGUCCAUAGAACAGUCAUCGGUAUGGCGUACAUCGUACCGAAAAACAUUUCAUAUAUAUAAACAUUAUAUAUUGAUGAAUUAUCAUUAUGUUACAAAGAAAUGUAUGUGUGUGCAUGCAGAUGUGUGUGAGUGAGGGUUGUUGUAUGCAUGUGGGGAGGUGUGGUGUUCCGAUAUCUUCUCCCACAUACCAAAGCUCUAGCAUAACUAUGGUGUUCUCAUCAAAAACCACAUGACUAGAGGCUGGACCAUAUUUAUUUUCUGCCCUUGUUAAGAAAUCCCAGAUCAAUCAUUCCAUUUACAAUGUUGUAUUUUUUAACUUAUGUGGAAAUCUUUUUAUUUACAGUACAAAUAUUUUAACACUUUUUGAAUUUUUAAUUUUGUUUUUUUCUUUUGUUAGACUUAAAGUCAAAUGAUUUUUGUAGUUCAUCUGAGUUAUUAAUUUGGCUCAUAAUUCGUUGAUGUUGUGUUGUUUAGUUUGUGAUUAUGAGGGUUAAUAUAAAACUUUAAUCAAGUUUUAAAAGAAAAAUUUGAUGGCAAGGUAUAGGGCAUUUUCAAUCAAUCAAGAAAUACCACUCGUUUCACAGUGUUUUAUGUGUGUUUGGACAAGACAUGUAACGGUUACACAUCAAACACAGCUAUUUUGACGGGACAUUUUUCUGUGACCUCGUGCCACCAUUCCUUUACAUAGUGCUCAAGCAUUUUUACAUCCUGUGCCUAACUGACUGGCACAAAUUGGUAUUGAUUUAUCAUUAGAGGUUUUUACACCCAAGGUUUUUAAAUUGAAAUUGGGAAGUCAGUGCUCUUUUCCAAGAUUGAUAAUCUAAAAGUAUUUUAAUGGCUCUUAAGAUGCUGAAAUUAAGUGUAUUUGAAUGAAAUAAUUAUGAAGUUUUGAAAAUUGGUUAAAUCUAAUGGUUGAUGAUUAAGGUUUUGAAGUGUCUGCUCUCUGCUUAUAUAUAUAGAUAAUAUAAUUUAUAAAGAAGCAGAAGAUUAUAAUCAAUCAUGACAAAUGUAAUUUGAUAUGUUGUUACUACUGUUGAUUGUCUCCCCAAGGUGGACAAACCUGACCGCAGCCAGCAUAACUCUAGUCAGAUCAGAUACAACAGUUAGCCUCAGAAUACUGAGUCCAUAACUUGCCAUCAACUCCCUCCUUUUAUGAAGUUUAGUUUUUAGCGAAUUCCACUGAUCUGUCUCAUGUGUUUGUUCCUUACUACGUAUGUAUUAGGAGUUCAUUGGCAGGUGCUUAUUUAUUUUAUUUAUGGCUUAUUGUUGAUGUUGUGUUUCCUUGUGCUUUUAUUUAUCCCUGUGAAUUUUUUUACAUCCAUGACAUAUCAAAUCUACAACUGUACAGCAUGCUGUAUGUGUUCAAAACAUCCCAAAGACCAAGAUCUAGUCAGUCCUGACCAUGGUCUUUCUAUAUCUUGACAACAUUCACUUGGAACAAAUUAAUUAAUCCCUAACUGAUCAAUGGUCAUUGAUUCGAGCAAUCAUUGUAUCAAAUUUGUGCAAUAUUUACUGAUUUUUGUUAGUCCUUAAACUAUUUAAGGUGACACGUUAAUUAUUUGUUGAUUUUUGUUUUAUUGUAAUAAUUGUUGAUUAAUUUAUUUAGUGCCCAGAUACCGCGUCAUGUGGAAAAGUCUUGUGUUCGUAUGCAGGUUGUAAAUGUUUGGUUGAUCCUUCUAAUUGAUAUGUGUAUCUACCAUUACUGUAAUGGUCUCUAUUGGGCAGCACCUGCUUAUGUUGAGAUCUCACUGAUCAUAGGAUGUGAACGUGUCCAACUGGUGUGUCCGUUAACUUACAAGUUACACAGAGGAAAGCUGAGCUUUAUUCACGACAGUCGGCACAAGAGCUGAAAACUCAGCUUAAUCCAACCAGCACACGAGUUGAAAGGUCAUCAUGAUCACAUCAGUACAUGAGUUAAAAGGUCAUCAUGAUCACAUCAGUACAUGAGUUAAAAGGUCCAGUAGAUAACUGAUGAGCUCAUGAGUUUAAUGGUAACACUAUUCUUAAUCACUCAUGAGUUUAAGUCAUCGUUGCCCGGCCAGAUUAGGCAUAGAUGAAUUUGUUAAUCUAGAAUCUAGUCAAGGGAUUUUCGGAGAUAAAUAUAUAGCAUAAUAUUGUGCUAAUAUUUAGGACAGUGUCCUAGAGAGCGAUAUGCUUAUUUCCGUUAUUCCGGUCAAGUUGCUAAAUUUUCCUGAUUGCAAAGGUUCUACUGUGUACCGGUACACAAAUCAAAUAACAAAACACCAAUAGUGUUAUAGUGGUAAUCACUAAAAUGAUUGAUAGUGUUAUCGUGGUAAUCACUAAAAUGAUUGAUAGAGUUAUAGUGGUAAUCACU
rnacentral:misc_RNA from 1 species